rnacentral:tRNA from 1 species
UNCACCGUAGCUCAGUGGGAGAGUGGGGGGCUCAUAACCCCCAGGUCCAUGGAUCGAAACCAUGCGGUGCUA